UCGAGCGGUAGAGAGAAGCUUGCUUCUCUUGAGAGCGGCGGACGGGUGAGUAAUGCCUAGGAAUCUGCCUGGUAGUGGGGGAUAACGUUCGGAAACGAACGCUAAUACCGCAUACGUCCUACGGGAGAAAGCAGGGGACCUUCGGGCCUUGCGCUAUCAGAUGAGCCUAGGUCGGAUUAGCUAGUUGGUGAGGUAAUGGCUCACCAAGGCGACGAUCCGUAACUGGUCUGAGAGGAUGAUCAGUCACACUGGAACUGAGACACGGUCCAGACUCCUACGGGAGGCAGCAGUGGGGAAUAUUGGACAAUGGGCGAAAGCCUGAUCCAGCCAUGCCGCGUGUGUGAAGAAGGUCUUCGGAUUGUAAAGCACUUUAAGUUGGGAGGAAGGGCAGUUACCUAAUACGUGAUUGUUUUGACGUUACCGACAGAAUAAGCACCGGCUAACUCUGUGCCAGCAGCCGCGGUAAUACAGAGGGUGCAAGCGUUAAUCGGAAUUACUGGGCGUAAAGCGCGCGUAGGUGGUUUGUUAAGUUGGAUGUGAAAUCCCCGGGCUCAACCUGGGAACUGCAUUCAAAACUGACUGACUAGAGUAUGGUAGAGGGUGGUGGAAUUUCCUGUGUACGCGGUGAAAUGCGUAGAUAUAGGAAGGAACACCAGUGGCGAAGGCGACCACCUGGACUAAUACUGAC
rnacentral:rRNA from 1 species